UACGUAGGGAGCAAGCGUUGUUCGGAUUUACUGGGCGUAAAGGGCGCGUAGGCGGCAUAUUCAGUCAGCUGUGAAAUCUCCGAGCUUAACUCGGAACUGUCAGCUGAUACUGAUGUGCUUGAGUGCGGAAGGGGCAAUCGGAAUUCUUGGUGUAGCGGUGAAAUGCGUAGAUAUCAAGAGGAACACCGGUGGUGUAGACGGCUCUCUGGACCGUAACUGACGCUGAGACACGAAAGCGUGGGUAGCAAACAGG
rnacentral:rRNA from 1 species